GAUGAACGCUGGCGGUCUGCUUAACACAUGCAAGUCGAACGGAGUACUUCGGUACUUAGUGGCGGACGGGUGAGUAACGCGUGAGGAUCUGCCCUCAGGAGGGGGACAACGACUGGAAACGGUCGCUAAUACCCCAUAUGCCGAGAGGUGAAAUGUUUUUUCGCCUGAGGAUGAGCUCGCGUCAGAUUAGCUAGUUGGUGGGGUAACGGCCUACCAAGGCGACGAUCUGUAGCUGGUCUGAGAGGAUGAUCAGCCACACUGGGACUGAGACACGGCCCAGACUCCUACGGGAGGCAGCAGUGGGGAAUUUUCCGCAAUGGGCGAAAGCCUGACGGAGCAAGACCGCGUGAGGGAUGACGGCCUAAUGGUUGUAAACCUCUUUUCUCUGGGAAGAUAAUGACGGUACCAGAGGAAUAAGCCUCGGCUAACUCCGUGCCAGCAGCCGCGGUAAUACGGAGGAGGCAAGCGUUAUCCGGAAUUAUUGGGCGUAAAGCGUCCGUAGGUGGUUAAUCAAGUCAGCUGUUAAAGAGCGGAGCUCAACUCCGUUAGAGCGGUUGAAACUGAUUGACUAGAGUUUGGUAGGGGUCGAGGGAAUUCCCAGUGUAGCGGUGAAAUGCGUAGAUAUUGGGAAGAACACCGGUGGCGAAAGCGCUCGACUGGGCCUGAACUGACACUGAGGGACGAAAGCUAGGGGAGCGAAAGGGAUUAGAUACCCCUGUAGUCCUAGCCGUAAACGAUGGAUACUAGGUGUUGCUCG
rnacentral:rRNA from 1 species